UGGGGAAUCUUGCACAAUGGGGGAAACCCUGAUGCAGCGAUGCCGCGUGAGUGAAGAAGGCCCUUGGGUUGUAAAACUCUUUCGUCGGGGAAGAAAAUGACUGUACCCGAAUAAGAAGGACCGGCUAAUUCCGUGCCAGCAGCCGCGGUAAUACGGAAGGUCCUAGCGUUGUUCGGAAUUACUGGGCGUAAAGCGCAUGUAGGCGGAACAAAAAGUUAGAAGUGAAAUCCCUGGGCUCAACCUAGGAAUUGCUUUUAAAACUUUUGUUCUGGAAUUCAGGAGAGGAAAAUGGAAUUUCCAGUGUAGAGGUGAAAUUCGUAGAUAUUGGAAGGAACACCAGUGGCGAAGGCGAUUUUCUGGACUGAUAUUGACGCUGAGAUGCGAAGGCAUGGGUAGCAAACGGG
rnacentral:rRNA from 1 species